GAAAGCGUUGGGGAGGCAAACAGGGAUUUAGGAUACCCUGGUAGUCCCACCCCGUAAAACGAUGAGUGCUAAGGUGUUUCGGGGUUUUCGAUACCCCUUGGUGCCGAAAGUUUAACACAUUAAAGCACUCCGCCUGGGGAGUACGGUCGCAAGACUGCAAACUCAAAGGAAUUGACGGGGACCCGCACAAGCAGUGGAGUAUGUGGUUUAAUUCGAAGCAACGCGAAGAAACCUUACCAGGUCUUGACAUCCCUCUGACCGGUACAGAGAUGUACCUUUCCUUCGGGACAGAGGAGACAGGUGGUGCAUGGUUGUCGUCAGCUCGUGUCGUGAGAUGUUGGGUUAAGUCCCGCAACGAGCGCAACCCUUGAUCUUAGUUGCCAGCACUUCGGGUGGGCACUCUAAGGUGACUGCCGGUGACAAACCGGAGGAAGGUGGGGAUGACGUCAAAUCAUCAUGCCCCUUAUGACCUGGGCUACACACGUACUACAAUGGCCGGUACAACGGGCAGUGAAGCCGCGAGGUGGAACGAAUCCUAAAAAGCCGGUCUCAGUUCGGAUUGCAGGCUGCAACUCGCCUGCAUGAAGUCGGAAUUGCUAGUAAUCGCGGAUCAGCAUGCCGCGGAGAAUACGUUCCCGGGUCUUGUACACACCGCCCGUCACAGCCACGAGAGUUUAUAACACCCGAAGUCGGUGGGGGUAAACC
rnacentral:rRNA from 1 species